GGGCUCGUGGUUUAGUGGUAUAAUACUCCCUUAGCAUACGUUGAUCUACGAUCAUCGACAGCCUGGGAGUGGUCCGGGGUUCGAUUCCCCGCGAGUCCA